UACGUAGGGUGCAAGCGUUUGUCCGGAAUUAUUGGGGCGUAAAGAGCUCGUAGGCGGUCUGUCGCGUCGGAUGUGAAAACCCAGGGCUCAACCCUGGGCCUGCAUUCGAUACGGGCAGACUAGAGUUCGGUAGGGGAGACUGGAAUUCCUGGUGUAGCGGUGAAAUGCGCAGAUAUCAGGAGGAACACCGGUGGCGAAGGCGGGUCUCUGGGCCGAAACUGACGCUGAGGAGCGAAAGCGUGGGGAGCAAACAGG
rnacentral:rRNA from 1 species